UUUUUUUAAAGAUGAUUCAUAAAAUGAUAGAUAUAAUUUUCUGUUUGAAGCUUAGUCCAAUCACAUCGCACUCCAAUCCCAGCUGUAGAUCUAUUCAGGUGUUGAAUAACUUUCAAUUUCAUAAUCAUCUAUCGAUGGUGCUGAUGAAAUUAUUACGUGUGAGCUACUUCGCUGGCAUAGCAUGUUUUAUUUCUUAUGAACUCAAAGAUGUUCCUGUCUUUUUCCUCCUCUUUCUGUUCUUUUUAUAAUGAGUAAAUCCUCUUUCCAUUGUUCCAUUGUUUAAUUGUACAGUUAAAAAACAUACCCUUUAUAUAUUUCUUAAUAAGGCACAGAGUGUGUAGUAAGACCUACUCAGGUCUUAAUACUGACAAAUUCUAUCAAAAGGUAUUUCUGAGAAACUGUGGCCUUUUAACUUAGAUUAAAUCUAGUUAUAAUAAAUCUGUUAACUUGUGGCAUUUGUGUGUUAGUUACUUUGCUGGCAUUAUAUUUAAAUUACAGGAAAAAAAUACAUUUUAUUAGCAUCAAUAGAUUUUUUUGGAGAAUAUAAUUGCUCUUCAAAGGACUUUUAAGAUAUAUUUGUUGUAGUUAGCUGUGUGAGGAGUUUCUACAACUGAACAAAAAUAAUGCGAGCAGUUGUCAAAAAGUGUAAACCUCACACCACGUAUAAUUUAUAGACGGUGCAAGGAAGCAAAGCCUUUUGAAGCCUUAUGCAGCAAACAAGUAGCACAUAAGAGUCUGCAUUUGUUGUAUUGUACUUAAAAUUCCAUGUCUAUGAAAGAUGAAAGAUUCCUAUCUUCAUUCAAGGGAAAUAAUAGUGUCUGCCCCCUCCACUGUUCUCCGUUCCAUUACAAGGCCACGUGUAAACACAGCGGUUGCUUUUAGAUUAGCUUAACGCAAACGCUUCAUUUGAUGCGGCAUCUGAAUCUGCUCAGCUAUGAGGAAACAUCCAAAAUGGGUGAACUACAGCUCAGCCAGUUGGUUUGCCGGACAGAUGGAAAUGCUGUUUUUCAUUCAUGCUGGGCAAGAAACACCAAGCCCCCCGCAGCUAGAGAGAGUGGGAGGGAAAGGUGCCGUGGAAAUACUGUGGUUAAAAAGUGAUUAUUCCUCUCAUGUAGAGGGGUGCUGCCAUUAGAACAGUUUCUCUGCAGCUGUUUGGGCCGCUCUCUCUUACCACUGGACUGUCCUGAGUUAUGAGGGAAUGCUCUGACACACACAGAAUAUCUUUUGACAAAUUGAGGCCACUGGGAAAUAACAUUGCAGCGGUGGGUACAGAGCUGCGACCCGCUGCAGAGAAACCAAGUGCCCGGACUCUUAACCGUUCUUGUGACCUCACGCUGAAGUCCACUCUGCACCCAUUCAGCGUUUCCCAUCUCGUCACUUCAUCCCUGACCAGCCUCCCUCCAGUCCCCGCAUUAGGAUCGUUGUUGAGUUAAGCAGCUCGUACAGACCUGCCAGUUUUUCUUUCUCACAAAUUGAAAUGAAGAUCCUGCAAGGGAGCGUGAGGUCCGGGGCGGCCAACUUUUAAUGUACUCAGUCCUGUUGUAAUCGGCCCUGACAGCUCAUUGUGAAUCAGGGAAAAAUCUUGCUUUUGAAAUCUAGUCAGUGUACAGUAAUUACAGGCAGUGCAGCCAGUGUCUGACACAUUCGCCUCACGGGCAGCAGGGUAAUAAAGCGAGAGGACCGUCCUUCAAUUUCGGGAAGCUGUUUAAGAACCUGGUGGUGCUGGUAAGCAUCUGCCUUGCUGAGGUCUCCUUGAGAAAGAAAAUUAAGCUCGGACCCUGCAGCGAGACCUGAAUGUGGAACUAUCAGUGAACUUGAUGUAGCCAUGAAUACUUUUUGCUCUCUUUUCCUAAAUUAAAAUUCUUUUUGCUGAAUAUGGCUGCAAUAUUAAGUGCGGCUGACCCUCGGUCAGCAAAAAAAAAUUAAAAAUCGACAGGCCUGUCAUGCCUCAACAUGAGAUGAAUGCCAAUGUUUUUCUUUUCGCUCAUCUUGUUUCAACUUUCAAGUAUUUGUUUUGCAGAACAAUUACACAGCAUCAACAUUUGACAAGUGCUGAGUGCACAGUGUGCGUGGGAGCUGCUUGCAUGUCGCUCCUGUGUGAGCGGUGGGGGAGGGCUGGUCCAUCGGUUUUAAGUGGAGGCACUUGGUGAGGAAGACAGUGUGCAAAUGCUGUACAGAUUCACAGUGAUAGCGUGUGGGGCCUGACAGUCCGGCGUUGCCUCUACUGGGGUGAGAAGUCGUGAUGGUUCUGGGGCCCGACAGCUGGGAAUAGAAAUUCCAAAGAGGAAAAAAGAGAGGGUUGUUGUUUGAGAUUUAAGAGCACUCCUAGUGGUAGAAACUAUGAUUUAAGAUGUGUUAUUAGAGUGUAUUAGCUACUAGAUGAUGACGAUAUUAUGCAUGCUAUGUUAUGUUUACAUGAAGAAGCUUUAGGUCAAAGGUGAGACCAUUGAAUGUAUUGUAAUAGUAAAUGAAUAAAGAUUCAUGGAACGCCUUGGAACAGAAAGUAAUGUACGACAACAAUGUGGGAGGAGCUGCAUUUGAAUGUGCAGCCAAUCACAUACGACUGCGGCACAAGGGACCGCCCCAUCGAGACUGGGAAAGCUCUGCUGGAGAAGAGGCAGGCAGAAGCCUCCUGAGGACCAUUAUUGAUGGUCACUGGUCCAGGGGAUUCUAUAUUUCGGGAAAUAUUAUACUAUUCAUACAGUGCUUCAUUUUGUAAGUGUAUUUCUUCUGUUGGUCAUUUUUUAACUUGUAAACUGGAGCCGGUUGAAUCUUUUUGAUUUCUCGUCUCCUGCUGGGAAGGGAGUGAUUCCUUCAUCAGAUGAAAAGAGCAGGGUUGGUGUAGCACUGCUGAGGGGAAAAGAGCCUUCCUUCAGGGGUUUGGACACCGUGCACCCAUCUCGCUAUAUAGACAUUCUAUCCCACUGCCGGUGAGAAAAAUAUCAUAUAACUCAAUAACAAAGCCUUCAUUGUUUCCCCUUAGUGGUGCCCACGCUAUCAACCACUGGGAGAAAAAGACAGACUGAGGCCUAAUCUGUGAAACAUCACGAGGGUUGAGAGGCUAUACCGCUGUUAUGUGAAAAAGCUCUUCCAUGGACUGUCAGUUUGAACACAAACCACUGGGAAAUCGUUCUUUUUCGUAAAUGGAUAUUUUUCCAGUUAAUUCUCGAGGUAGACGGUGGAUAGCUGUGCUUUCUUUAAAUAGUGUUUAUUGGUGUACGUGGUGGUGCUGGUGAUGUCACAGCGGCUGUGGGGCACAAUUAUUUUAUGGUGUUAUGUUCUUGUGUCAAAUUGAAUUUUAGGCCUGUGAUAUAGAUUUCGUGUGAAGCUUGAGAUGCCUGGGAGAUGGCCACGUUCUCGGCAUUCUCUCUGAGGCACACAGAAGACGCGUUGGGCAAGAGUCCAUUAUUUGUAAAUUUAGAAAUGGAGAUUGUUGGCAUAAUCAUAGCCAAGACAUUGAAGGCCAAACUUCUUCCAUUAACGAGAGGUGACAUCACAUGAGGAGAAGGUCACACAAUAUGUGCACGGUUAUUGAAACCCCCCCACGCUGCAGUGCCAACUCGCUCGUAUAUCCGCACACUCACACCGUGCGGUAAUUGAGGAUUCUACAACCGAGCCGCUUCCGACCAUCUUUUGCCAAGAAAUAUGUUCAAUAGAUCGAGAGGAACCUGUGAUGUAGUCAUCAAGUUUACGAUCUGAAAAGCCUUUCACAAAGAUCUUGUCCACGUUUUUCCCAAUGGACCUCUGUGAUGUAGAUCAGAUUUAUUUCUAAACAGGUGGCUCAUUUGUUUGCCAAAAUUGCCACCUUAUGUGUUUUAGAUUUUCAGACGUUUGUUGAACUGAAUCGCAUAAAUGGUGACAUCCCUACACAGCAAAAAAAGUAAGUAAGUUAGUAAAUAGGUUAGCUACUGAAUGCUUACAAUUGUUGUUUUUCAUUAUAUUUUUUCAGAUCUAUUUACUUUAUAACUCUCUUUGUCUACAACAAUGGAAGAAAUAUGAACUAAAAAUACUCUUUCUCACAAACACAGCCACACACACCACCUGAUCCACCAGCGAGUUACUUUCUUUGUAAAAUAUUGUGUUGUUUAGCCAAAAAAGCCAGCAUCAGUAUAGUAUUUAGCAUUAUUACAGGUGUGUAGCUCCACAGCAGCAGAGAAGUAACCUGAUUUCUGUAAAUUACAGGCGGCCCUGAGCCGUGUUAGACUGUUGAUGUUGUUUUCAUUCUUUUGCCAUGAACAAAACCAUCAGUCCACGAUGAAUCCCAAACCUGUCUCUUACACAACAGCAAUAGAGACUCUAUAUACCCAGAGAAAAGCAACAGACUCUUCUGUUGAAAAGCUACCGGCCUUUCUUAUCCUGGUAAACACGACUGUGCUGUGUGCAAUUUACUCACGUCACAUCACAUUGUUUCUUUUACAGCGCUUCAUAGUUUGGGACGGCUAGUGUAUGAUUUUAUAUUUUAUAUUUUCUGCCAGAAAACAUUGACAGUGCAUUUCUCAGAAUCUCACUUGCGUGGGCGGUGAACUGAACACUGUGGGAAUACUUUCUGACUUAAGACUCCACCGAGGUUUGCCCUCUGCACCGCGGUGCGCUUUGCUCUUAUCAGCUGUGAGAGAUCUUGACAUGCAGACAGUGAUGUGGAUUACUGCUCAAAUGCAUUGAAACACGUAUUGUGAUUGAAAGAUGUCAUAUGGAGAAACCUUUUAGUUUCUUAAAAGUAGCUAUUUCAAAUAAUUGCAAUUUAGUCCAGUGAUGCAGAUGUUUUUCUUACAGCAAUUGUGACCAGUUCUAAAAAGUGAUCUCUUACUUUAUUGAUUAUUUUCUUUAUGUCAGCCUGAAGAGGUCCCACUGCCAGAAACCUAAUUGGCCAUGCAUAGGCAAACAUAAGGGGGAAGUCUGGAAGAAAUAAAAAUGAUCUUUGUAGUUAUUGCGACCCCUCAGAGAACCCCUAGCCUUGAAACCAAUGAUGUAUUUUCUAUCCAAUAUCAGAAACUAAAUGGAAAACUACCCUCACAAUUUGACACCUUCAAAUGAAUAAUCAAUUACAUAUUUGUCUAUUUAACAGAACAAAAAAACGAUCUCAUGAAUAUAAUAUGAUGUUAAAUAGAAAAACGCAGUGAAUCUUCAUUUUAGCGACACUAGGGGGAAGUUAAGGGGUAGAUCUGACAGAGAAAACGAAACACAUACAAACCAUUCUUUUUCACUACAUUCAUGCCAUUUGAUUAUGUGAACUUUAAAAUAGCAGAGAGUGAAGCACGACUCAGAGUAUGCAGGAUUCUCCCAGGACAUCCUUAUCAUCCAUUUGUCCAAGGCCAGGUUCGAGACUCUGAAAUUCAGGGGAUUAAUGUCUGCAGUGAUAACGGACAGGAUGUGCUGUUGGACUUGAAGCUUCAAUCCACAGGACUGCCGAACCAUGACACCCAUGCAAAGUAUUUCAUUUAGAGUUUAAGGACGGAAAUAAAAGGAAAUAACAAAAUCAAAUGAAAGUACAAGGCCUAAGGGCAGAGGUGGCAAUAAUAUAUCUGUCCCAUGUCGAUAGCAUGGUUUCCUGCAGUGUAUAAAGGAAAUAGGCCUACUUUACUGAAUCGAAGACAACCUUGAAAACCAUCAUAACAAUAAAUAACGUUUUAUAAAAACUGCACAUUCACCUCCAGGGAUUUUACGUGUUUCGGAUGACGUCCACAAAUUAAGCUAAUCUCCAAAUGUGACGCUACAUGUUCUGGCUGGUUUACCACCUCAGCUAAACAAUUUCCUUGGAGUAACCUCGUAUAGUGUUGUGAAGAUAGUUUAGUGGAAGACUUAAUGGUAAUAAUACGGAGAUUAUAUCCUAAAAUUAUGUAUAGGUCCAUUCUUUCAAACUUCAAUAUUUUGGGGUCGCAAUGGUGGUGGAUCCGAGCAUGAACAAUAGCUUCAUAUUUUUCACACCUAAUGCGGUAAAGACUACUCAUAGAUAAUCCAAAAAUUCUCUUUGAAAAUAUUGAUUAUGUGGCUCAGAGACUCUACUAAUGGAAAUGUUAUGCUGCCGUCGAACCCGUGACAGAAGAGGAAUAAAUUUGCAUCCACGGUGCUGCCUAAGAAAUUAAUGGGGAAGUGAUGAUUGGAGUAAUUAGUGCCAUUUAAUUUAAUUGUCCACAUAUUUCUAUUUAAUUGCCCCGCUCGUGCAUAUCCAUUUUUUUUUGCUCUAAGAAAAGGUAUAUUAAUACAAACUAUGAAUGUCAUUUGAGCCCUGUAUGGAUUGAUGGUUGUGAAAUUGUAUUGCAUUUUCCAUAAUGAGAAAUAACUCUCCAACUGAGAAAAAUUAUUUAUAAAUAUACUUUACUUGUAUACAUCACAGACUAAUUCAACUGAUGAGUGCUUUGCUGAACGCCUUCUGGAUGAAUGUUAUUAACCCUGGAACUUGUGAAAUGGUUAUUUUUAGUGAGGUUUCAUGCUGUUUUUUGCUAUCAGGUAACAAGCCCCUCCUUCUUUUCAAUGUAUUCAAUUAAACAUAAAUGAUCCCUCAGGCGAACUCAUGCAAUAAAUGUUACUAAUAAUAAAUGAAACACUUUCUUAAAUAUGUCCGGCUUGGUACACAAGUAAGUAUAUCUAUUGUACCUAAUACUAAUAUAUAAUUUCCCCCCACCAUUUGCAUGGUGGAAAUAGCACUCAUUAAAAACCAACCUGUCAUACGCAGUUGUCCUACCCCAGUGGGUCACAAUAAAUAGAGCAUGGCUCAAGAGGAAGCAUUUGGCAAGGAGUACCGGCUUAUUUCUCGGAUGCACUGGGUCUAUAACUGUGAUAAUGCCGUGACGGCAUCAUUUGAUAAACUGAACUGCUUCAUUGUAACUAUUCUGUGCACAGACUGGUUUUGUUUAUGGAAUGUCCUGCACGGUAAAAUGAAACAAUGAAGACGACAAAACAUUGAGGUUCGUCUGAACUAAUUAUGCUUCCAAGACUGCUGAUAGACUGACAUCCAGAAUAAUCAAUGUGACAUCCCUAAUGAAAACGAGGCAAAGUUAAAAAUAAAAUGUCCCAUCUCUGAGGGAUUUUAACCCAUAGCACACACACACACACACCAAAAGAUCAUGGGAGAUAUUUUAUUUAUGAUAGCUGUAAUUACAUUUUUAAGCUGCUGUAAAUCAGGUGUGUCCAUGUCCGUGGUUUUGACUACCUAUUGGAAAGAGAUCAGGAAGAUGUAUUGCUAUCGCUGCUCUGUGCUGCGAAGAUGCUUGUUUCAGCAUAUUGUGCAUGUCACCCUUCCUACCACGAGCCCAAUCAGUGCUGCCUUGACAAAUCUCCCCUAGAGUGGGAAUCAUUUUUUCAAGCGCUUGAAGGGCAUUUGCGCACCAUGUCCCUCGCAGUGACCCAAAACCUGCUCCCAUUUACAACCUUUUCACACUGCAUGACACAAAAUCCACUCGGUAUUCACAGAGGACGUCGUACAUCAGGUGCUGCAUUGUAUCUGCUACACCUUUUACAAAUCAAAUAACAGAUAACGGUGGGAAGCUGAUGGUCGGACCAGCAGAGGUUCAACUCUCAGCGCUCAUUGAACGUGUGGUUGAAUGAGAAGCCCUUUUUUCUUUCCCCCAGCAG
ensembl:lncRNA